UCUAGGAUGGCAGGCUGUAGUGGACUCCAGAUGGUCUUCCUAGAUGGAAUCAAGACCUCUGGAAUUGUUAAGCUCUUGCUCUGCAUCUUGGUGACUCAUUCAAUAUGGUUUUUUUUCAGCUGCAGAGGGAUAAGUUGAGUGCCACAGAGCAACGGAGGAGGGGAGCGGAGCAGCGUAAGAAGGUACGAAGCAAGGAGCGAAGCGGGCCGUCGGUACUGGAGGUGACUUGGGCAAGGUGGAGCACGCAGCCUCGGAGGGGCGAAGUUGCAGGCUGAUGAGCAGUCUGAGAAGGCGCUGUGCGGGCCACCUUUGGAAUGGGAUGAGCGUUUGAGGUACUAUGAGAGAUGAUGGCUGCAGGGUGUGACUCUGGAAUGAGCAGAUGAUGAAGAGGAACCUGGCGACUGCUGGA